rnacentral:rRNA from 1 species
AGUGAACGCUGGCGGUAGGCCUAACACAUGCAAGUCGAACGGCAGCACAGUAAGAGCUUGCUCUUACGGGUGGCGAGUGGCGGACGGGUGAGGAAUACAUCGGAAUCUACUUUUUCGUGGGGGAUAACGUAGGGAAACUUACGCUAAUACCGCAUACGACCUACGGGUGAAAGCAGGGGAUCUUCGGACCUUGCGCGAUUGAAUGAGCCGAUGUCGGAUUAGCUAGUUGGCGGGGUAAAGGCCCACCAAGGCGACGAUCCGUAGCUGGUCUGAGAGGAUGAUCAGCCACACUGGAACUGAGACACGGUCCAGACUCCUACGGGAGGCAGCAGUGGGGAAUAUUGGGCAAUGGGCGCAAGCCUGAUCCAGCCAUACCGCGUGGGUGAAGAAGGCCUUCGGGUUGUAAAGCCCUUUUGUUGGGAAAGAAAAGCAGCAGGUUAAUACCCCGCUGUUCUGACGGUACCCAAAGAAUAAGCACCGGCUAACUCCGUG